UGGGACGUCCUACCGGUGGACUUAGCUUCUAUCUCUUCNGAGNUAGAKGCGGUCCAGCUAAUAUCCCAUCGNGGUGCUUUUCAUCGAGUGUCGAGGUGGGCCGGUACGUUUACUUUGAMCAAAUUAGAGUGCUCAAAGCAGGCCAUCCUCGCCUGAAUACUGUGUGCAUGGAAUAAUGGAAUAGGACCUCGGUUCUAUUUUGUUGGUUUUCGGAACCCCGMGGUAAUGAUUAAUAGGGACAGAUGGGGGCAUUCGUAUUGCGACGUUAGAGGUGAAAUUCUUGGAUCGUCGCAAGACGGACAGAAGCGAAAGCAUUUGCCAAAAAUGUUUUCAUUAAUCAAGAACGAAAGUUAGAGGUUCGAAGGCGAUCAGAUACCGCCCUAGUUCUAACCAUAAACGAUGCCAGCUAGCGAUCCGCCGAAGUUCCAUUGAUGACUCGGCGGGCAGCUUCCGGGAAACCAAAGCUUUUGGGUUCCGGGGGAAGUAUGGUUGCAAAGCUGAAACUUAAAGGAAUUGACGGAAGGGCACCAC
rnacentral:rRNA from 1 species